rnacentral:rRNA from 1 species
AUUGAACGCUGGCGGCAUGCCUAACACAUGCAAGUCGAACGGGGCAGCAAUGCCUAGUGGCGGACGGGUGAGGAAUACGUAGGAAUCUGCCCUUAAGUGGGGGAUAACCAGGGGAAACCCUGACUAAUACCGCAUGAUCUCUUCGGAGCAAAGAGGGGGACCGCAAGGCCUCUCGCUUCUGGAUGAGCCUACGUCUGAUUAGCUAGUUGGUAGGGUAAAGGCCUACCAAGGCGACGAUCAGUAACUGGUCUGAGAGGAUGAUCAGUCACACCGGAACGGAGACACGGUCCGGACUCCUACGGGAGGCAGGAGUGGGGAAUAUUGGACAAUGGGCGCGAGCCUGAUCCAGCAAUGCCGCGUGUGUGAAGAAGGCCUUCGGGUUGUAAAGCACUUUAGCCUGGAAAGAAAAAACUUUGGUUAACACCCAAAGUCUUGACGGUUCCAGGAGAAUAAGCACCGGCUAACUCUGUGCCAGCCGCCGCAGUAAGAC